UACGUAGGGGGCGAGCGUUGUCCGGAAUCAUUGGGCGUAAAGAGCUCGUAGGCGGCUUGGCAAGUCGGAUGUGAAAACUCCAGGCUCAACCUGGAGCCGCCAUUCGAUACUGCUAUGGCUAGAGUCCGGUAGGGGAGUGUGGAAUUCCCGGUGUAGCGGUGAAAUGCGCAGAUAUCGGGAGGAACACCGAUGGCGAAGGCAGCACUCUGGGCCGGCACUGACGCUGAGGAGCGAAAGCGUGGGGAGCGAACAGG
rnacentral:rRNA from 1 species